GGGCUCUAGCUCAGUGGUAGAGCACUUGUCUAGCACAUGGGAGGCCCUGGGUUCAAACCCCAGGCCUG
rnacentral:tRNA from 1 species